rnacentral:rRNA from 1 species
GAUGAACGCUGGCGGCGUGCCUAAUACAUGCAAGUCGAGCGAACAGACGAGGAGCUUGCUCCUCUGACGUUAGCGGCGGACGGGUGAGUAACACGUGGAUAACCUACCUAUAAGACUGGGAUAACUUCGGGAAACCGGAGCUAAUACCGGAUAAUAUAUUGAACCGCAUGGUUCAAUAGUUAAAGACGGUUUUGCUGUCACUUAUAGAUGGAUCCGCGCCGCAUUAGCUAGUUGGUAAGGUAACGGCUUACCAAGGCGACGAUGCGUAGCCGACCUGAGAGGGUGAUCGGCCACACUGGAACUGAGACACGGUCCAGACUCCUACGGGAGGCAGCAGUAGGGAAUCGUCCGCAAUGGGCGAAAGCCUGACGGAGCAACGCCGCGUGAGUGAUGAAGGUAUUCGGAUCGUAAAACUCUGUUAUUAGGGAAGAACAAAUGUGUAAGUAACUAUGCACGUCUUGACGGUACCUAAUCAGAAAGCCACGGCUAACUACGUG